GACGAACGCUGGCGGCGUGCUUAACACAUGCAAGUCGAGCGGUAAGGCCCUUCGGGGUACGCGAGCGGCGAACGGGUGAGCAACACGUGGGUGACCUGCCUCUAGCUCUGGGAUAAGCCUGGGAAACUGGGUCUAAUACCGGAUAUGACUCCACGGCGCAUGUUGUGGGGUGGAAAGCCUUGUGUGGCUAGAGAUGGGCCCGCGGCCUAUCAGCUUGUUGGUGGGGGAUGGCCUACCAAGGCGACGACGGGUAGCCGGCCUGAGAGGGCGACCGGCCACACUGGGACUGAGACACGGCCCAGACUCCUACGGGAGGGCAGCAGUGGGGAAUCUUGCGCAAUGGGCGAAAGCCUGACGCAGCGACGCCGCGUGAGGGAUGACGGCCU
rnacentral:rRNA from 1 species